GUAUUUAUUUAUUUACAAGCUGGGAAUAUUCAAAUUGGCCCAGUACAUUCUCCCGCAUUUUAAACACGUCAUGUUUCCUAAUGUGUAUGCUAAGAAAUACAUGGGCAGUGAAAAGGAAGCCAAAUCCGUCCUUAGUAGAAGAGACAGAGAUGUUGCUAACAAAGUGAAAGGGACUCUUUCUGGAGAGCCUGAGAAAAACGGGUCAAAUUAUAGAAAAAAAGCAUAAAGGUCUUGAGACAAGGUUUUGCUGUAUGGUCUAGACUGGUCUUGAACUCACUAUGCAUCCCAGGGUAGCCGUGGACUCACAGAGACCCUCCUUCCUCAGUCCCCAGGGUACUGGGAUUACAGAUAACACAUUCAUAGCAACAAUUUGCUUGGAAUAUAGUAUCACUUUCCUGCUUUCAUCUGUGCCAUAUGAUUGCACAGCUUCCAGUCGUGUAAGAUUGUGAAUAAAUAUUUAUUCUUCCUAAUGAGAAACUGGACCCCUCUGGGCAUGGUGACGCAUGCCUGUGAGCUCAGCAUUUAGGAGGCUGGGGCAGGAAGAACUCAAGCUGCGUAGUGAGAUACUCUGUCUCAACAACAAGAAAAAUUAAAAUAAAAUGGAAAAGAAGUUGGACCUACGAACUCCAUAGUUCAUCUGAGAGUCACACACAGAACUGGAGGUCUUUGUUGGCAACUGUGGAGGGAGUAUGUUUUGGUGUAGCAGGCUGAGGGACAUUCCUCUCUGUGACCUGAAGUAGCUGGCGCGAAUGACUGAGUCAACACUUGAGCUAGAUCUUGAGGGAGCACAUGAAUUUGGUGAGGUGAAAAUGAGGAGGAGGAGGAGGAGGAGGAGGAGGAGGAAAUUGCCAUGUACCAAGAAGAACGUGAGAGAGAAAUCGACAGACGACAGUAAACUUUCACAUGGAAGGGACAAUAACAAAUCUUAGGAAAGGAAGAUGGAAGACACAUGUUCGCCACACAAUUAUUGGAGCAGAUUCUGUCUACCUCUGCAGAAGUUUUCUAGGCUGGGUAUGUGAAAGGCACAAAUCCCAGAAGAUCUUCAGCCAGCUCCCAGCAAGGUGGGGGAGGAAGAUACAUGUCCUCCAUGCUUUCCUCUUUCCAGCGUCUUAAUGAUGACACAUGGACAUUUCUCAGUGUUGCUGUCACUAAGAGUUAGCAAGUUAACGACAUAAGAACGCCAGGGCUAUAAGUAGAUGUCUCAACCUUAGCACUCCAGGCAUUUGGCGUGGCAUAAUUCUUUAUUAUGGGGACUAAGACUGUCCUCCAGUGGGUGCCAGAAGCAGCCACUCCUUCCGUGACCUCCAGUUGAGAAAAUCAAAAAGGCUUCAGACAUUGCCCAGCAGGUCAACCAUCUCUAAUUAGGACCUACUGCUGUAGAAUAGAUAGACUCUUAACCGGCAUGUUCCUUUACCCUGGAAACUUUCUGAGCCAAGGUAAAGACUUAUGACCAGCUGGGUGUAGUGGCUCAUGCCUGUAAUCCCAGCACUUGGGAGGUUGAGGCAGGAGGAUCGUUGUGAGUUCAAGACCUGCCUGGGCUCAAGUGAGCUCAAGGCCAGCCUGAACUGCAUAGCAAGACCUGUCUCAAAAAGACAAAAAAAAAAAAAAAAAAAAAAAAAAGACUUACGACCUUAGAAAAGGUGACCAUAGCAGGUGUGUCACUUGAGAAAGGGCAGUGUAGCUGCCCUGGAAGGACUCUAGGGCUACAGAUGUGUCUUUUCUUCUCCAAGUCCUCUCUCCAAUGAUUGCCCAAAUCUAGAAGAUGGUUCGUAAAUGCUGGGUAAGAGGAAUUUGCCAGAGCCAAGUCUGCCUCUUGCACUCAGAGGAGAAAUCGCAAGGGCCAACAGCUGUUUACUUGAAGCUCUGUCCACUUACCGGCUUAUUGUGUUCUAUUUAAGAGACUCUUGAAUACUGUGAAAGUAACCAAGGAUACCAGUGUGAUCCCAUGCAGCAAACAUGGGAAAAGAACAGAGCACCCAACGUCCAAGCCUGUUUCUCAGGUUUAUUGCCAGAGAGUAGG